rnacentral:sRNA from 1 species
UAGGAAUGGACGAGUGGGUGUUACUCGU